GUCUACCUACGGGACGCAGCAGUGGGGAAUAUUGGGCAAUGGGCGCAAGCCUGACCCAGCAACGCCGCGUGAAGGAAGAAGGCUUUCGGGUUGUAAACUUCUUUUAAGAGGGAAGAGAAGAAGACGGUACCUCUUGAAUAAGCCACGGCUAACUACGUGCCAGCAGCCGCGGUAAUACGUAGGUGGCAAGCGUUGUCCGGAUUUACUGGGUGUAAAGUGCGUGCAGCCGGGCUGACAAGUCAGCUGAGAAA
rnacentral:rRNA from 1 species